UACAGAGGGGGCAAGCGUUGUUCGGAAUUACUGGGCGUAAAGGGCGCGUAGGCGGCCUGUUAAGUCGAACGUGAAAUCCCCGGGCUCAACCCGGGAACUGCGUCCGAUACUGGCAGGCUUGAAUCCGGGAGAGGGAUGCGGAAUUCCAGGUGUAGCGGUGAAAUGACGUAGAUAUCUGGAGGAACACCGGUGGCGAAGGCGGCAUCCUGGACCGGCAUUGACGCUGAGGCGCGAAAGCCAGGGGAGCAAACGGGG
rnacentral:rRNA from 1 species